UCCGGACUUCUUUUGUGUUCAGUAUGCAGCAUUCAAAGCGACGUCAUCAAUUUCCAACAUGUUCUGACAUCAUUUGUUGUUUUUCGGUCAUUUACCUAAUUGUUUAGAGAGCUAAAUGACCUUGAAAUUGAAAAUCACUACAAAAUGAAUUCUGAAAAUGUUGAAACUUGGCAUGGUAUCAUCAUUUCACCCGCAUAGCAUGUGCGAAAGAGUAGAGAGGGUCACGGCAAAAACUGGACGCACUUCGUGUACAAACUGGACAAACUCUUUCAGAGUAUCAGGGUUUCGGACGAGAACUCAUCUGUUACACGGGCACUUCAAUGUUUUUUAAACUUAUUUGAACUCCGGACUUCUGUUGUGUUCAGUAUGCACAAUUCAAAGCGACGUCAUCAAUUUCCAACAUGUUCUGGCAUCAUUUGUUGUUUUCGGUCAUUUACCUAAUUGUUUAGAGAGCUAAAUGACCGUGAAAUUGAAAAUCACUACAAAAUGACUUCUGAAAAUGUUGAAACUUGGCAUGGUAUCAUCAUUUCACCCGCAUAGCAUGUGCGAAAGAGUAGAGAGGGUCACGG
rnacentral:lncRNA from 1 species